rnacentral:rRNA from 1 species
GUGAGGUUGGUUAGGGUUAACGUCCCGACAACGAGCGACCACCCGUACUGCCAGUUACUAACAGGUGAAGCUGAGGACUCUGGCGGAACUGCCGGUGACAAACCGGAGGAAGGUGGGGAUGACGUCAAGUCAUCAUGGCCCUUAUGUCCAGGGCUACACACGUGCUACAAUGGGCGAGACAGAGCGACGCGAAGCCGCGAGGUGGAGCAAAUCGCAGAAAAUCGCCCUCAGUUCGGAUUGGAGUCUGAAACCCGACUCCAUGAAGGUGGAAUCGCUAGUAAUCGCGCAUCAGCAUGGCGCGGUGAAUACGUUCCCGGGCCUU